rnacentral:tRNA from 1 species
UAAGACUUUAAGUUAAAAAAACUAAAUACCUUCAAAGUAUAAAUUAUUAUCUAAUAAUAAGUCUUAG